rnacentral:rRNA from 1 species
ACGAGUUUGAUCCUGGCUCAGAUUGAACGGCUGGCGGCAGGCCUAACACAUGCAAGUCGAGCGGGGUUUCGGACCUAGCGGCGGACGGGUGAGUAAUGCGUAGGAAGCUACCCGACAGAGGGGGAUACCAGUUGGAAACGACUGUUAAUACCGCAUAAUGUCUACGGACCAAAGUGUGGGACCUUCGGGCCACAUGCUGUCGGAUGCGCCUACGUGGGAUUAGCUAGUUGGUGAGGUAAUGGCUCACCAAGGCGACGAUCCCUAGCUGGUUUGAGAGGAUGAUCAGCCACACUGGAACUGAGACACGGUCCAGACUCCUACGGGAGGCAGCAGUGGGGAAUAUUGGACAAUGGGCGCAAGCCUGAUCCAGCCAUGCCGCGUGUGUGAAGAAGGCCUUCGGGUUGUAAAGCACUUUCAGCGAGGAGGAAGGGUUAGUAGUUAAUAGCUGCUAAUUUUGACGUUACUCGCAGAAGAAGCACCGGCUAACUCUGUG